GACGAACCGCGCGAACGUUGUUCGGAAUCACUGGGCUUAAAGGGCGCGUAGGCGGGUGCUCAAGUCCGGGGUGAAAUCCUCCAGCUCAACUGGAGAACUGCCUCGGAUACUGGGUGCCUCGAGUGUGGUAGGGGUGUGCGGAACUAUCGGUGGAGCGGUGAAAUGCGUUGAUAUCGAUAGGAACUCCGGUGGCGAAGGCGGCACACUGGACCACAACUGACGCUGAGGCGCGAAAGCCAGGGGAGCAAACGGG
rnacentral:rRNA from 1 species